rnacentral:misc_RNA from 1 species
AGGUGCCCGGUGCGGGAAAGCCGCACGCUGGGAUCUGUGCGGGGGGCGCUCAGCAAUGAGCGUCCCUACCGCGAC